rnacentral:SRP_RNA from 1 species
GCCAGGUGUGACGGCUCACGCCUGUAAUCCCAGCACUUUGGGAGGCUGAGACGGGCGGAUCACCUGAGGUCAGGAGUUUGAGACUAGCCUGACCAACAUGGUGAAACCCCAUCUCUA